GUUGAUCCUAUCUGCCUUGUAGUGGUUUAAGUCCUGUUCAUUUCAGGUUACUGCAGACCGCCUCUUAGCCUCUAAACAAACCAUCCCACAUUACUACUUGACAGUUGACACACCCGUCGACAAACUUAUCAAGUUGCGAGGGGAACUGAACCCACUGCAGGAAGCAUCUGGUGGAAAGAAGAUAUCUAAAGACCUUGUUAGAAAGGAUGCAGACAAGACAGGACUUGCUACAAUCGGUGAGGAGGUGAAGCAGUUGGCUCAAAGAGCGAGGGAUAACAGCUUAAGACCACAAGACUAUGAGGCAUUUAGUGAUUUUCCAGAUUGUUUCUGUAGUGAUAGGGGAGGCUACCCUGGGUCUAAUAAUGGAAAAUGCAAUUAUAUCUCGAAGGUAAUUUGACACACUAAUUAUCUCAGAGCUUGCAUCAAUGUACUGAUUUUUUU